rnacentral:rRNA from 1 species
UACGGGGGGGGGCAAGCGUUGUUCGGAAUUACUGGGCGUAAAGGGCUCGUAGGUGGCCAACUAAGUCAAACGUGAAAUCCCUCGGCUUAACCGGGGAACUGCGUCUGAUACUGGAUGGCUUGAGUUUGGGAGAGGGAUGCGGAAUUCCAGGUGUAGCGGUGAAAUGCGUAGAUAUCUGGAGGAACACCGGGUGGCGAAGGCGGCAUCCUGGACCAACACUGACACUGAGGAGCGAAAGCCAGGGGGAGCAAACGGG